rnacentral:rRNA from 1 species
UGGGGAAUAUUGGGCAAUGGAGGCAACUCUGACCCAGCAACGCCGCGUGAAUGAUGAAGGUCUUCGGAUUGUAAAGUUCUGUGAUGGGGAACGAAGAAAGUGACGGUACCCCAAGAGCAAGCCACGGCUAACUACGUGCCAGCAGCCGCGGUAAUACGUAGGUGGCAAGCGUUGUCCGGAAUGACUGGGCGUAAAGGGUGCGCAGGCGGCGCGCCAAGUCAGCGGUCAAAGUUCCGGGCUCAACCCGGUGUCGCCGUUGAAACUGGUGUGCUCGAGUGCGUGCGAGGAAGGCGGAAUGCGUUGUGUAGCGGUGAAAUGCAUAGAUAUGACGCAGAACUCCGAUUGCGAAGGCAGCUUUCCAGCGCGCUACUGACGCUGAGGCACGAAAGCGUGGGGAUCGAACA